rnacentral:rRNA from 1 species
UACGUAGGGUGCAAGCGUUGUCCGGAAUUAUUGGGCGUAAAGAGCUCGUAGGCGGUCUGUCACGUCGGCUGUGAAAUCCCGAGGCUCAACCUCGGGUCUGCAGUCGAUACGGGCAAACUAGAGUAUUGCAGGGGAGACUGGAAUUCCUGGUGUAGCGGUGAAAUGCGCAGAUAUCAGGAGGAACACCAGUAGCGAAGGCGAUACUCUGGGCCGGUACUGACGCUGAGGAGCGAAAGCAUGGGGAGCGAACAGG